AGCUCACUGGGAGAAAGGAAUGUGGUAGAUUAGUUAUGUCUGCUAUGGGAGUGCAGUGGGCAUAGAAUGUGGUAGAUUAGUUACAUCUGCUGCGGGAGUGCGGUUGGGAUGAGGAAUGCUAGCUCUUUUGCCAGACUGAACAUAAGAGGGUCUUGGGGCCUCAAGGAGCUUGCUGAUUCUUCAUGGAAAGCGAGUCAAAUUCAAAGUCAGACAUGAUGGCUGGAGCUCCAGUAGCUAUUUUGGGCCUUGAGAAUGGAAGUCACAGAGGGUGGAGCAACAAGGCAGAAGACCCGGUUCUCUGACAGUGAGGAGGCUGUACCAGCCUUAGACUGACUACCUGCAGACUUCUCACAUACGGGAAGGAAAUAAAGUUCUAGUUUACU